rnacentral:SRP_RNA from 1 species
GCUGGGCACAGUGGCACGUGCCUGUAGUUCCAGCUACUCGGGAGGCUGAGGUGGGAGGAUCGCUUGAGCCCAGGAGUUCUGGGCUGUAGUGCGCUAUGCCAAUCGGGUGUCCGCACUAAGUUCGGCAUCCAAUAUGGUGACUGCCCGGGAGCGGGGGACCACCAGGUUGCCUAAGGAGGGGUGAACCAGCCCAGGUCAGAAGCAAGAGCAGGUCAAAAUUCCCGUGCUGAUCAGAGGUGGGAUCGUGCCGGUGAAUAGCCACUGCACUCCAUAGCGAGACCUUGUCUCUA